rnacentral:rRNA from 1 species
UGGGGAAUAUUGGACAAUGGGGGAAACCCUGAUCCAGCAAUGCCGCGUGAGUGAUGAAGGCCUUAGGGUUGUAAAGCUCUUUUACCCGGGAUGAUAAUGACAGUACCGGGAGAAUAAGCCCCGGCUAACUCCGUGCCAGCAGCCGCGGUAAUACGGAGGGGGCUAGCGUUGUUCGGAAUUACUGGGCGUAAAGCGCACGUAGGCGGCUUUGUAAGUUAGAGGUGAAAGCCCGGGGCUCAACUCCGGAAUUGCCUUUAAGACUGCAUCGCUAGAAUUGUGGAGAGGUAAGUGGAAUUCCGAGUGUAGAGGUGAAAUUCGUAGAUAUUCGGAAGAACACCAGUGGCGAAGGCGACUUACUGGACACAUAUUGACGCUGAGGUGCGAAAGCGUGGGGAGCAAACA